rnacentral:rRNA from 1 species
UACGGAGGGUGCGAGCGUUGUCCGGAAUCACUGGGCGUAAAGGGCGCGUAGGCGGCCUGGCAAGUCGAUGGUGAAAGCCCGUGGCUCAACUACGGGUCGGCCAUUGAUACUGCUAGGCUCGAGUCGACUAGAGGCAGAUGGAAUUCCGGGUGUAGCGGUGGAAUGCGUAGAGAUCCGGAGGAACACCGAUGGCGAAGGCAAUCCCCUGGGCCUGUACUGACGCUCAUGCACGAAAGCGUGGGGAGCAAACAGG